rfam:Erinaceus europaeus unplaced genomic scaffold scaffold00286, whole genome shotgun sequence
CCAAAGGCUCUUUUCAGAGCCACCCACAAUUUCUGAGGAAGAGCUU